rnacentral:lncRNA from 1 species
AUGUUUUAUUUACAGUACGUAAACCAGUUACAAAUGCAACACAGCCGCAGAUUUGCAUGCAGUAAUUGUGCAAUCGGGGUCCUUGUGAAAAACAGUGUGAUUUGUGUCAGCGUGCGUGUGUGUGCAUGUGUGUGUGGAGUUUCUCACCCUUUCUACACACAGCUGCCCUCUGUCCACCCGUGUCUCUAUACUCCCGCUCCCACCCUCCCGUCGUCUCACUCAGUCAACCAAAACUACAGAGUGUCGGCCUCAUUUCAUCGUUUCUCUUCUCCUUCUCAAAGCAAGGUGCUUUCCUCAUUGCUCCUGUCUUUGUGCCACGCUGACGCACCGAUCUGAUGGCUCUGAAGACAGUGUCAUCCUUUUGGAUUUAACAUUUAACUUUGUCCUUCAAUAGUUGAGAUUUUGUUCUGGUUUUACUGUUAAGUAAUGAGUAAUUCACAAGAUCUGUUUCUCAGACGUUUAUUAUCAUAGAAGACUAAAGCCUGGGGCACACCGGAGGCAGACGUGCCCCAGAGGCGUGGCCAGGGAGUGGCCUGGGUUGGCACAUGCCACCCUUAGAAUCUGAUUGGCCACCCCAGGUGCCACCCCACUAAGUUCCUGUUUAAAUUGACUUUACAUUGUCGACAAAAGGCUUGGGUUGUAAACUCCAAAAAUAGUGUGUGGUAGCAUGCACCUUUAACAUCGUCUUCUAGCCCAGGCCUACAGAACAUUUCUGUAGUAGUAAUAUUAUUUAUUAUUUUUUCAUAUUCACAUAAAUAGUAUUUAGAGUCCCACUCAUCUCCAGUUGGUGGCAGUAAUGCAACAAGAAGUGACUUGCUAACCACCACAAAACUAGAAGAUAAAUAGAAAAAAAUGUUGAUUGUGAAAUGUGAAACUCCAAAAUUCACUAGAAAGUAAAUAAACUAUUUGUCUAAAUAAAUAAAUAAGCAUAACCAUUGGUGCCACCCAAGCAUAAACAAGUGCCCCACAUGGGCCACCCCAUUUUAAAAGUCCUGGACACGGCUCUGACGUGCCCAUGCCGCGCCCGCUGUCAUUUUAAGUAGAAGCCAUUAUAGUUAAUGAAAGUGGGCACACGGGGAGCGCCGCGUCCCAGAAGCGCCGCGCCGAGGCGCUGAAGAUAGACACCAGCUCUACCUCACGCCUACUGCACACUGGAAGCAAAAGCGGCGCGCAACGGUGGUGGAACGGACAAUCACAGAACUCAAGUGCACACCAGUCUCAGCAGCGAAGCGGCUUCUCUGCUGUGCUCUUCGCGAGAUCACACGAUCCCUCGAGAUUUCAAAGGUUGUGAUUUGUCAAUGCAAUCCGCCUGUUACGUCCCCUCCUGAACGUCCAGGAGGAUGAGGGGACUAACACAGAAAAAUAGGUGGAGGUGUGUGUGAGAGGGUAAAUAACGAGGUGGUGAGAGUAAAAACAAAAAGGUUUAUUAACAAAGGGUGUCCGUUUCUAACGGCAAAAUAAGGCUUACAACGGGGAACGGUGAUGAAAAGGUGGAAACUGAAAACAUAAGCGGUUAACUGCUUAUGAAAAACGGCAGUUAGCCAAACUAAAUAAAAACCACCUAACAGAAAAAUCCCAGGCUCAAAGUCCAAUGGGGACAAAAACACCGAAAAGAGAAACUGACACUCUGUCAGCUAACCUGCAAAUGAGGAACUAAGCCAGAAACCCCUAAGCAAGCGUACGCCACAGAUUAACCUUAGCAAGCAAAUGGUAACUGAGCUCAGGAGAAUCACAGACUAGCUCUGGAUCUCCUCGACUGUCUGCUGUGCUCCUCUUUUAAAGUCCUGUGGGCUGCUUGAUGGCUGAUUCGGAUCAGCUGCUGCCAUUUCUGGCUCGCCUCUCUCCAAGGUCCUGGACUGCCACGGAGGGAGAGUGAGCUGCUCUGGGAACUGUCCCAGGUGCUGAAAACUCGGCGGUGGGGACAGCAGGCGCAGAUAACGAUGACGAGGAGGACCGAGGGGACGAGGGUCGUCACACCGCCAUUAAACCAAAAAGAAGGAAAUCAUGUUUGAUAUCGCCCUUUGAUGUCACACAUGCAGUUGUUCCUCUCCACCGCCAUGAUGAAAGCCAUGAAAACACACCGCUGUACUUCUGGAACGAUGCUAUGAGUAAAUAAGCCAUUGUGUCACACGUAAGCUUCAUAUAUAUAUAUAUGAAAUUGCAUUGCUGCUAUGCUUUUAUUUUGAAAGUUACGGGGUAGGUUACUCAGAAACCGUGUGUGGAUUCCUGUCUAGCCCUAUGUUAACUGACGUAUCCCAGAAGCGGCUCGCAGAAAAAAGAGAACCCGGUCCUAACUUUAGCGUCGCGUCGCGGUCGCGUCUGAAAAUGGCUGCACUGCAGCUGGUUUGGUACAUUCCGUAGAUUCUAUUUGAAGCAGUGCUGUUCCGCUGCCGUUUCACGCCACUUUUGCUUUCAGUGUGCAGUGGGGGGGGGGGGGUUAAGUGCCACUCAACAUUGUGGAGUACUUUACAACAGGCAUUACGAUGCAGAGCGAGUUUACGGCACACACCCACAUGCAGUUUUAAAGUUCUAUCGAUCUUAAAAUGUUCAAAUAGAGAGCACACUUACCCAUUUUAAUGAAUUCGAGUCUCAGAAAACACAAGUCUGAUCACAUUUAAACAAUAGAGUCACUUCCCGCUUCUUGUUCUCAAGUCCCACGUGAUGUUGUGACUAUCGCGCAACUUUCCGUGAAGCGGUCAGCGGCAUAACUGUGUGACAUCUUGACUUCUCAAAGUCUUGGGCGCGACGCAACGCGUCCAACUCCGGUUGUCAUGUUGUGGGUAAUGUACUUCACCCAGGACAUGAAGAAUCACACGAAAAGAGGCAAGUAAAGAUACAAGUGUUUUAUUUUUAAGGAGAAAAGAAAAACUAGAACUAAGGGCGCCGCUCCUGAAAACAGGAGCAGGAUGGAACCGGAAUCUAUGAAGACAAAAGAAAGGUGAGCGAGGCCAGAACCAGAGAACCAGGAGAAUAUGAAUCCGUAUCUGAAAGUUCUUACGGUCCGAAGCCAGGAUUUGAGCGGAGGCGAACUGGGAGAGGCUGGAGUGGGUGAGGUGGUUCUGAGCGUGGACAGGCAGGCAGGUGUGGAGAAAGGAGGCCAGAGGAUCCUUGAAUGGUGGGAUGUGAGACAACUCCAGGCAAGGUAGGUGGUGCAGAACAGGAUACUAGGACGGGAUACACAAAAAUCAUUAGACCAGGAUCACAGGAAUCAAAGGCAGAUUCUAGGCUAGAUGCUACCCAUGUGAGAGUAUCAACCGGCACUGGGGUUGAGUCACACCACUCCUUAAAUCCUCUGAACCUCCAAUUAGUGGAACUCCCAACAGCUGUGAAGGAUGCCACGCCCACCUGCAAACACAGAGCUGACACACCUCACCAGUAGGUGGAGGCAAACCGUGACACCGGUGCGCCCCAGGCUUUAGGCUUAUGUUCCAUGCAGUCAAUUUUUUCAUGCUGCUUAGAUGAGUAUAGGACUUGCUUAUAUUUAUUUAUUUAUUUAUUUAUUUCAUUUGCAAUGUUCAGAUUUUAUAAAAUGUUAAGAGGAAAUAAAUUAGGUAUCACUUCCAGAGUGGGGUCAAAAUGCCAAGAAUUUGUCCAAAUGUAGAGAAAAAAGUUAGAAAUUGCUUCGGGAAUUGAGCUGAAAAAUAAAAAAAUAAGUAAAAACUUUGUGGUUCUAAACACGUCUCAUGCAUGACCCAGAACACGCGGGGCGAAUGACAAAAAAAAAAAAAAACACAUGAGACUUUUUUGUUUACUGAGAUCGUUCUGCAACCCUACCUUCAAAAUAAAAGUCCUUAGCAUGAACACUAAACCCAAAAUACAUUCCUAACAUCUGAAGCCUGUGAAAGUGUUUGGAUGGUGAUGUUCUCAACGAAACUCAUGCUGAUACGUAAAAGCUGUUGGGAAGUAUGAAAAACGAUUUCCUGUUAGUGCACCAGUUAAAUCCACCGUUUGUGAUCCUCAAAUCGUUGUUCUGAAAACCAAACCUGAAGUACAACGCCACCGCAGUUUGCACCAGUGUUGGUUUAGAUUUGAUCUCAAAACAUAACCGUUAUUCUUGGAUUUCUACUUUAUUCCAAAUAAAGAAUUUCAUCAUUUUCCUGACAGUUUCCAAUUUUUCUCAACAGUUCAUUUUCUAGCUUAAAAGUAGGGAAAAGUAGAAAGCUGGGUUCUCUUUUCCUUCGUCUUAGUGGCCCUGAUAUGCCGCCUAAGCAGAAUCUAACAGUUGUUUUCUGUUUUUUGAUCAAAAGUUUAUUCUUUGUUUCCAAACUAAGUGAAACUGGCUGUCUUUAAUGUAGCUUUAAACAACAAGGUGAGGAGGAGGAUAGCAGAAAAAGGCCGUAAGAGCACAAAAACAUUUCCAGUUAGGUGUUUCAUCAGCUUGUAAAGUAAUUAAUAGACGGCAGAUAGUAAAAAUACAAACAAAUGUCUUCGUUUCAUUUGCUUUUCUCUCCCUGCAGGUAGAGCUUGGAGCGCUGGAGCUGAAUCUUUCUGCUCUGUGGUUUUGCGCUUCACUAAUGACGAGCUCAGUCUGCCCACAGCUACUUCUACACGAGUCUAAUUCUCAACAGCUUUCUGGUUAAAAUGAUUUAUCCUUUCUGCUUUGGUUGUUUUGCCUCAAGAAUGUUAUUUCUGUCUUUUUAUAAAUUUGUAGCUUCUUUAAAAAGAAAAUGGUUUUAUUUUGAAGAGAAUAAUUGCAUGGCUGUAGAUGAGAAUCAGCCGCUCCACAUCUGAGUCAGGGACGAGGUCCUGCCUCGAGCGGAGGAGUUUAAACUCAGGGAUUUGCUCACGAGUGAGGGAAAGAUGGAGUGUGAGAUUGAAAAGUGCUAUUUGUUUAGCGCCUUCUAGGGUUCUACAACCCCCAAAGGCGCUUUGUCACUAACCAGUCAUUCACCAAUUCACACACACAUUCACCAAUUCACACACACAUUCACAC